rnacentral:lncRNA from 1 species
GAACCUGAUUCUCGUCUUUCGGGGCGUGAUACGUAGGCAACCCACAUAGGGUCCGGUUUUCCUUAUAAAUCUUAGAUUUUUGGCUUUGCAGGGUCAUAGCCAGAUUUUGCACUUCUAGCUACUUUUAGCCACAUAGGUUAGUUUUAGAAUUCAAAGUUACUUGUUGGAAAUUGUGUGAAUUGAGUUGUGUCAAUGGACUCUACUAUUGAAAUUCUUAGAGUUCAAGUUGGAAUUAGAAUUCAGAAGUUUCUUGUUGGAAAUUGUGUGAAUUGAGUUGUGUCAGUGGACUCUACUAUUGAAAUUCUUAGAGUUCAAGUUGGAAUUCUCUUUUCAAACUUCUUUUAUGCUAGUGAAAGUUCUGUUGAGAUCAGUCUUUGCUUGUUGGAGCAUUAUUUUGCGAUUUUAAUUGAAUCUAUGAGUUGUUCGUGGGCCAAUGUUUGAAAGAAAAUCCUGCAUUGAACACCAAUUAUCUUUGUGCUAAGACUGUGG